UCUCCGUUGGUGAACCAGCGGAGGGAUCAUUAACAGAACCUAGAGUCUAACUCUGUUCUUAAACCCCGUGAACCUAAUACCAUACCGACGUUGCCUCGGCGCGCGCGCGCCGGGGGGAAAGGAGCCUCUGCGCUCCCGCCCCCCCGGACUGCCGCCGCCGACGGCGGCCGAACCAAAACGCUCAAGUCAGCUCGGCGCUCGCUCUGAACAAGAAAACUAUAACGAGUAAAAACUUUUGGCAACGGAUCUCUUGGCUCUG
rnacentral:misc_RNA from 1 species